CCCUUAGAUGUUCUGGGCGGCCCGCGCACUACAUUGGCACUAGCAAAGAGAUCCUAGAUUGAAUUCUUUGGGGUAUUCUUCUAAAUGGUGUCGUGACUGGGAUAAAUCCUUGUAAUUAUUGGUUUUGAACGAGGAAUUCCUUGUAAUCGCGGUUUAUCAGCUCGCGUUGAAUGCGUCCCUGCCCUUUGUACACACCGCCCGUCGCUCCUACCGAUGGAUCGUCCGGUGAAGCUCACGGAGUGACUGUCCACGCAACGGUUUACGAAGUGAAAUGGACCUCACGAUUUAGAGGAAGGAGAAGUCGUAACA
rnacentral:rRNA from 1 species